GACGAACGCUGGCGGCGCGCCUAACACAUGCAAGUCGAACGAGCGAGAGAGAGCUUGCUUUCUCGAGCGAGUGGCGAACGGGUGAGUAACGCGUGAGGAACCUGCCUCAAAGAGGGGGACAACAGUUGGAAACGACUGCUAAUACCGCAUAAGCCCACGGUGCCGCAUGGCACAGAGGGAAAAGGAGCAAUCCGCUUUGAGAUGGCCUCGCGUCCGAUUAGCUAGUUGGUGAGGUAAUGGCCCACCAAGGCGACGAUCGGUAGCCGGACUGAGAGGUUGAACGGCCACAUUGGGACUGAGACAUGGCCCAGACUCCUACGGGAGGCAGCAGUGGGGAAUAUUGCACAAUGGGGGAAACCCUGAUGCAGCGACGCCGCGUGGAGGAAGAAGGUCUUCGGAUUGUAAACUCCUGUUGUUGGGGAAGAUAAUGACGGUACCCAACAAGGAAGUGACGGCUAACUACGUA
rnacentral:rRNA from 1 species